rnacentral:misc_RNA from 1 species
GAUGAAGAACGUAGCGAAAUGCGAUACGUGGUGUGAAUUGCAGAAUUCAGUGAAUCAUCGAAUCUUUGAACGCACAUUGCACCUCUCGGUAUUCCGGGAGGUAUGCCUGUUCGAGCGUCAUUUGUACCCUCAAGCUCUGCUUGGUGUUGGGUGUUUGUUCCGCCUCUGUGUGUGAACUCGCCUCAAAACAAUUGGCAGCCGGCGUACUUGUUUCGGAGCGCAGCACAUUUUGCGAUCCAGAUCAACGUACAGCGGCAUCCAAGAAGCCUUAUUUAACGCUCUUGACCUCGGAUCAGGUAGGGAUACCCGCUGAACUUAAGCAUAUCAAUAAGCGGAGGA